rnacentral:rRNA from 1 species
AUUGCGAAGGCAGCUUGCUGGAGUGUAACUGACGCUGAUGCUCGAAAGUGUGGGUAUCAAACAGGAUUAGAUACCCUGGUAGUCCACACAGUAAACGAUGAAUACUCGCUGUUUGCGAUAUACUGCAAGCGGCCAAGCGAAAGCGUUAAGUAUUCCACCUGGGGAGUACGCCGGCAACGGUGAAACUCAAAGGAAUUGACGGGGGCCCGCACAAGCGGAGGAACAUGUGGUUUAAUUCGAUGAUACGCGAGGAACCUUACCCGGGCUUGAAUUGCAACUGAAUUGGCCGGAAACGGUCAAGCCGCAAGGCGGUUGUGAAGGUGCUGCAUGGUUGUCGUCAGCUCGUGCCGUGAGGUGUCGGCUUAAGUGCCAUAACGAGCGCAACCCUUAUCUACAGUUACCAUCAGGUUAUGCUGGGGACUCUGUGGAGACUGCCGUCGUAAGAUGCGAGGAAGGGGGGGAUGACGUCAAAUCAGCACGGCCCUUACGUCCGGGGCUACACACGUGUUACAAUGGGGGGUACAGCAGGCAGCUACGCGGCGACGCGCGGCUAAUCCCAAAAACCUCUCUCAGUUCGGACUGGAGUCUGCAACCCGACUCCACGAAGCUGGAUUCGCUAGUAAUCGCGCAUCAGCCACGGCGCGGUGAAUACGUUCCCGGGCCUUGUACACACCGCCCGUCAAGCCAUGAAAGCCGGGGGUACCUGAAGUGCGUAACC